AAUUUUGGACAAUGGGGGAAACCCUGAUCCAGCCAUCCCGCGUGUAUGAUGAAGGCCUUCGGUUUGUAAAGUACUUUUGGCAGAGAAGAAAAGGUAUCUCCUAAUACGAGAUACUGCUGACGGUAUCUGCAGAAUAAGCACCGGCUAACUACGUGCCAGCAGCCGCGGUAAUACGUAGGGUGCAAGCGUUAAUCGGAAUUACUGAGCGUAAAGCGUGUGUAGGCGGUUCGGAAAGAAAGAUGUGAAAGCCAAGAGCUCAACCUUGGAACUGCAUUUUUAACUUCCGAGCUAGAGUAUUUCAGAGGGGGGUAGAAUUCAACGUGUAGCAGUGAAAUGCGUAGAUAUGUGGAGGAAUACAGAUGGCGAAGGCAGCACCCUGGGAUAAUACUGACGCACAGACACGAAAGCGUGGGGAGCAAACAGG
rnacentral:rRNA from 1 species